CCUACGGGUGGCAGCAGUAGGGGAUAUUGCACAAUGGGGGAAACCCUGAUGCAGCGACGCCGCGUGGGCGAAGAAGUAUUUCGGUAUGUAAAGCCCUAUCAGCAGGGAAGAAGAAAUGACGGUACCUGUGUUAGAAGCACCGGCUAAAUACGUGCCAGCAGCCGCGGUAAUACGUAUGGUGCAAGCGUUGUCCGGAUUGACUGGGUGGAAAGGGAGCGCAGGCGGCGCGGCAAGCCUGAUGUGAAAGCCCGCGGCCCAACCGGGGGACUGCAUUGGGAACUACCGGGCUGGAGUGCCGGAGAGGUAGGCGGAAUUCCUAGUGUAGCGGUGAAAUGCGUAGAUAUUAGGAGGAACACCAGUGGCGAAGGCGGCCUACUGGACGGUGACUGACGCUGAGGCUCGAAAGCGUGGGGAGCAAACAGGAUUAGAUACCCGGGUAGUC
rnacentral:rRNA from 1 species